UUUACAGCUCGGUCUGCCAAUGGCACUUACAACAUUUUAGUGGAUGUUGGAUGGCAACUGGAUAAAUAUUUGGUGUCUGAAUGAGAAGGAUGAAGAUCUUUGACAUCAUGAGGAUGGAAUUUUGAAUGGGAUAUCAAGUUUUGAAGGAGUAAUAUCAGUAAUCUCGUGGGGAGAGAAAAAUCCAAGAUGCCAACAACCUUGACACAGAUGAGAGGCUUGAGGAAUACCAUACAUCCCAGAAACCUUAGCAACAUAAACUUACAGCAUUGCUGUUCCUAUUCUGCUUGGUCAGUUAGAGUCAUCCUGAAUAGAGUGAUCAUACAGAG